UUCCAGUGCAGGGGCUCAGCACCAGCAGAACCAGCAGCACCUGGGCCAACGAGGCUCUCAGCCAUCCAUCCCCACUUGUGCUCCCCUCCCAGAUGGGGUCAAUUUGGCACUGAUGGCUGGGAGCGCACAGCAUCCAGCCUGCUGGGCAGGCACUGCAGCUUGGUUGGGUUGGAGAUGAUUUAAGCGCAUGGGAAGAACCAGGGCUGCCUGUUUGUGCCUCCUGGAGCUGCUCAUCCUCUCCAAGCACUGAUGUUAGGGCUCUGCCUCGCUGUACUUAAAGCUUAUGGCUCACUACGCUUAGGAUUUGUUUCUCCAGCACUGGUUGCUCUGAAAUUUUCUUCCUGUGGGCCACAGAUGUUAAUUCCAGCUGUAUCCAAUCUAAGAGUGCGAGUCGCUGAUUUACGGAUGGGAAAAGGUGUUUCAGCUGGAAGCAGGAAAUUGGACAUUGAUUGGAGGACAGAAGUUCGGAGCAAGAGUUAAAGCAAAGUGACAUUUCCAUACAUUAGGGAAGCGGGAGAAGUCGGCCCAACGCAG